GACGAACGCUGGCGGCGUGCUUAACACAUGCAAGUCGAACGGAAAGGCCCUGCUUUUGUGGGGUGCUCGAGUGGCGAACGGGUGAGUAACACGUGAGUAACCUGCCCUUGACUUUGGGAUAACUUCAGGAAACUGGGGCUAAUACCGGAUAGGAGCUCCUGCUGCAUGGUGGGGGUUGGAAAGUUUCGGCGGUUGGGGAUGGACUCGCGGCUUAUCAGCUUGUUGGUGGGGUAGUGGCUUACCAAGGCUUUGACGGGUAGCCGGCCUGAGAGGGUGACCGGCCACAUUGGGACUGAGAUACGGCCCAGACUCCUACGGGAGGGAGCAGUGGGGAAGAGUGCACUGUGGGCGGAAGCCUGAUGCAGCAACGCCGCGUGCGGGAUGACGGCCUUCGGGUUGUAUACCGCUUUUGUCUGUGACGAAGCGUUAGUGACGGUAAUGGGUAAAGAAGCACCGGCUAACUACGUG
rnacentral:rRNA from 1 species